rnacentral:rRNA from 1 species
UACGUAGGGUGCAAGCGUUAAUCGGAAUUACUGGGCGUAAAGCGUGCGCAGGCGGUUCGCUAAGACAGAUUUGAAAUCCCCGGGCUUAACCUGGGAACUGCAUUUGUGACUGGCGGGCUAGAGUAUGGCAGAGGGGGGUAGAAUUCCACGUGUAGCAGUGAAAUGCGUAGGGAUGUGGAGGAAUACCGAUGGCGAAGGCAGCCCCCUGGGCCAAUACUGACGCUCAUGCACGAAAGCGUGGGGAGCAAACAGG